GUGAGGCGAAUUUAACGAUCACAAGCGAACCGCCUGCUUGGAUGCGACAGGAAGAAUUGGCUUGCCGGAAGAAUGGGGAAAUGUGGUGAGAGCGUGCGGAGGACGUGGGCGAUUGCACGGUCACUGUACGACUGAUAAUGAGACUGGAAUUAUCCAACACAGCACUGCAACUGAUUCCCCGUUCCUAGUGUUUUUCUUGCAGGCAUUGGAUUGGAAUCUUUCAAUAUAGUCGUCCGUGUACUUCUGUUUAAACACUCUGUUCAGUUUUAAUUCAGCCAUGGAUUAUUACAGGAAAUCUAUGUUGGGCUGUUGACCCUGGAGUAGAGUAUUCCCAGUAUUACACUUUUUGCAUCCAAUUUACUUCAGUCUGAAGGAUGUAACUAUGGGUCUGAGACAAUCCUGUUUGGGUGGCUGCAGAUUAUGUUUGCAAGGCGAAUGUGAUAGAAGCCGCAAUUCAGUGGAGAGUCAUCUCCAAGUCCCUGAUAUUAUAAUAACACCUCCAACACCCACAGUUCUCUCAACACCCGGGGGCUUGAAACAGGCUGACAGGGACUCGCUGCUAGACGACACUCUCCCAAACAGAUGUUAGCUGCAAAAAAGCCCUGAUAUUUAUGCAAAAGCCCGAGCACCAAGAUCACAUCAAGAAUGUUUCUUGUUUGAAGAAGCGUUAAGAACAGAUUGCACAGCAACCAUCUGCCUCAUUUCACUUGGUGUGUGAAUGAUAAACUAUACACAGAUUUAUCUACCAAUCUGUUUUUUUUUAACUUUUAAAACAAGUUUUGAUGACAAUAGCAAUAUUGAGUUUGGACUCAAAACUUAAACAUCCACAAAAGAAUGACUGACUGCCGUGUUUAACUCCUUUGCACCCUCUCUUAGCUCUCCUGUUUUCUGUUGUAUCUGCACACACCAAUAGUAAAGAUGCUUUGAAAAUACCAUUUGAAAGAUAAAAAUGCAAAUUUUUGUAGUUGCCCUUUUAACUAAAGAGGAAUUCUGCACCAGCGACCCACACAAAUAAUCUGAUCUCAAACUCCCAAUUUACAUCCAAGUAUCUCGAUCCAACUUCAUACAACAAGCUCCAGAGAUAACCAAAGAUGUUUUCAAUAACGCAGUGAAAUUAUCAACAUGCAAAGAUUAUCAAGGAUCUGUAAAUGAAGACCAGAUGGAGUGUCAUUUCAUCCUGAUACUGUUGAUGCCUAAAGGAAUUUUUAAUGGAGAGGCAGGCAGAUGGAAAUUCUUAAUUCAUGAUGACAGCAAACAGAUGGCAAAAGGCAUUAUCUACAACUGCAUGAUUCCAGAGACAGAUUCUUUAAAAAUGUCAGCAACCAAAUGGAAAACAGUGCCUUUCGAUUCACACUGCCUCCCCUAUCAAUCAGAAAUGGAAAUCCGAUCACAUUUUUUGGGUCAAUGAGAACUAGAUUUGAGCUCCUGUACUACACACCAGUAAACACGAAGUUAGCCAUGCUCAGAGGCAAAUGGGAAAGCCUUUUGCAACUCAACCUGAAUUGGGAGCAAUGCCGAGAUCGAAGGGAUAAUGGUGUGGAGAAGGCAAUUUGUGGAGUUAAAACUCUCACUUUUAAAAUCCCUGCAUUUUUAAGGUUUGAACAAUGUUCCUUCUGUAGUAUUUCUGAAGGAUUUUCAAAAAUGUCCUGACUUGUAAAUGCUGAAGACAUUUAAUGCAUCAACAUUUAAUCUCAAUGGGUCAGUUAAUAAAUGCACCGACAGGCCUGGCACUAAAUCGCACUGUAUAGGAAGAUCCUCUAUUGCUGUUCCUGGUCUUAGUCCAAGCAGUUUGGGUGUCAGUCAUAACUCAGGUGGUACACUCUUGAUGUAGCAUGCAGGAUUGUUCAUUCAAAUUCCACUCCAGAAAUUGACCUCAAAUUUAGGUUGGCACUGCACUGCAAAUCUGUGGGAGUGCUGCAUUGUCAGGGGUGCAGUUUUCAGGAUGAGACAUGAAGCCAAAGCCUGGUUUGCCCUCCUCAGGUGCAUGUAAAAGAUCCUAGGGCACUAUUCUGAAGAAGCCUGAGGGAGAUAUCCCCAUGUCCUGACCGAUAUUGAUGUCAUUAAUAGAAAAUAGAUUAUUUAGUCAUUAUCACAUUGCUAUUCUGGGCACAGUUUGGCUGCCAUAUUUCCUAUAAUAAACAGUGACCACCUCUUUGAAAUUACGUUACUGGCUGGAAUAUAUUUUGAACUACAUAUGCUUGUUUUUUAAUAUAUAUAUGGAAGUUUGGUUUUAUUUUGCUACAAUUUGAAUCAGUGCCUCUCAAUCAAAAAGGAAAAUCAGCCUGAGUUACUGAUUGAUACUGUCUGACUGUUGCAGGAAGAUGGGAAUAGGAUAAGGCCAAGAUUAGAUUCAACUGAGAUGCCUACCCUGAUUGAAUUGCCUGCUGUCAGUCACUAUCCAGACUUGAGCAGAAAAGAUGCUAAUUUCAGUGUGGUGAGGUCUGAUAUAGGAACAUUACUAAUGGUGCUGCGACUCAGAAAGCAUUACUUUAAAGUGACAGGUGGAAAUUAAAAAGAUUUCCAUUCUCUUCAUAAUCACACUGGCUCAUCCAGCCCAUCCCCUCUAUGAAAAUUGGCCUGUUCUCUCUUUAUUGGUGGAGUGUGCACCUUAACUUUGAUUGGAAGAAAUUCCUCUGUGAUAUCAUUAAAACAAAUGUAACAACUUCAGCUUUUCCUCAGCAGAAUGAGUGUUAAUGGGAUUUAUGUUAGCAUAUUAAGGACCCCCUAAUGGAAAGCCUUCAUGUUACCCUGAUAUGUGUCAGCUACAUUACAGUAACUGCCUCACAAUGCACAGAAUGCAUGUGGGUGGACAGGAUUGGAUUGAACUGUGAUACCUCCUCGACUGAAACCAAUUGUUUAGUCUGACAUGAAAAAUAGCCAUUUAAGUGGAUGCAUGGAACCAUAGGAAGAUUCAGCACUUCCAGGAGACAAAAGCACAAAAUGGGAACUGUUCUUUACAUCAGACCAUUAUCCAAUGCUAUAAAUGAAGGUAGCUAUCCAAUAUAUUUCCUUCAAUGUGCUUUACAAAAUCAUGAUAUUUGUAAACUAUGUCAUUAACUGAGUGUAAUUUUCAAUUGUUCCUAUAAAUGGUUCAUUUCCUGA